rnacentral:lncRNA from 1 species
AGUGUGAGAGGGAACAGGCCUCUCAACUGACGUGAAAGGAGACUGCAGGCUACAGAUUUCUGUCCCUGAAUCGGGGCAUUCCUGCGUGAUCCUGGCUGAACUGUGGGACAUUCUAGAAGUUUAGAUCCUCAGCUGACAAGUGGAAAAAGAAAUCUCACCUCUUGCCCUUUCAGCACCUGCUCCAAGGAUCAAAUGAGGGACUUUACUCCUGAUGUCCUUUGCUUAGCAAGCGGUUUCCCAGGUGUUCACACUGGUACUUCAGCCUUCAGAGAAUCUCUGCUCAACCGUCACCUUGUCUGAAAUGCUUUCUCUGCUCUCCUGACCCUGGUUAGUGUCCCCGGCACAGCCUGAUGCACUGAGGAGUUAUGGACCUACCUGUUGAUUCUUUAACUUCAGAAUGUCAGUACCAUAAGGAACUGCACUUUUUCCUGCUACAACCCUGGCAUUUAGAACCUGGCAUACAUAUA